rnacentral:tRNA from 1 species
GAAAACUUAGUUAAUAACAUAUAACACCAGAUUGUCAAGCUGGAAUAAUUAAUAAAUAAUAGUUUUCU